UAUGUAUCAAUUUAUAUUUCGAGAGGAUUUAUUAAAAUUUUAUUAAAUCAAAAAUUUCAGAUACCGGGAUAUAAUGGUUAAAAUAUAACCGUUCCGAGCUCGCAUGUACAAAUAUUAUAAAUUUCGCCUAUGAUCCAUUUGAAUGUUUAAUGGAAAUAAAUGCGGGAGGACGUGAUUUCUGGACAAAAGGAUUAAGUUACGGUAUUAUUAAUAGGUCAAUGGCUGAUGUUUCGAUAAAUCUCGUCGUGUUGGAAAUGUUCAAAAGGUACGUAUAUUUUAAAUUAUUUCAAAUUAAGGGGUGAGAUGUGCAGUUGCAAAAUUCGAUCUAACAAAGCGAACGUAUUGUUUGAGGGGAUGGGUAAACUUUUUAAGGAAGGAAGGAGGGAAUACCAAGGAAAUUACACUCCUUGGGAGGAGUAGUUUAUAGUAUCUUGAAAUAUUAAAAUAUCUUCUCUGGUGAGAAACAGCCGUGGGUCCAUGACUUUCCUUCCACCAACUCUUUAUUACACCUUCAUGUUUAUUCGUCGUCGAAAUAAGAUCAUACACCCAAGGAGAGGUAAAAGAAAUAUUAGAAAGAGUGAUGGAAGCGAGACUCCACCAUGCUUAGAAGCCAUUCCCCUUGACUGCACACAUCCGAGAUGUGUAUCUGGAAGAGGGAGAGCCAGGAAGAGUCGACCAUUACUGGAAGGGUGAGAGACAAGGUGGGAUUAAAGGGGUCAAAGGGGAGAAAGAGACGGUAUGAGUGUAUCCUGGGGUGGAGGUGUAACAGAGAGAGCGAUGCACAUGUGCAGGGACAACAAUGUGCCAGAAGAUAGUGCAAUAGUUGGCACAGAUACAGGCACAGAUUUAACCCUAAACUCGUGACACGGACAGUGUGCAUGGAAUCACGUGGAAAUGUAUUCAAACGUUGCUAUGGGGAUUUCGCUGCCACCCUAAACACACCGAUAACCCAUCAAUUUCAGCGAAAUCGGACGACCCGGCAAACUGUAAUAUCCGAUCAUGUUUCUAUUCGUAUUAAUCCAUUCUUCUUCUCCAAUUUUAUUCGUGAAUAAUAGCCCGAUAUUAUCGUAGUUGAAAUAUCAUCUCUGCUCACGGACAGAUACAUAAUUGUUGCACGAAUGUAUUCGAUUAAAAUUUUUAUCGCGCCAA